CCGGGGCCCUCAGGUGCUGCGGUUGCAGUUUUAGCAGGUCGAUUAGGUGUUUUGGUCCUAGAUACACUGCCUAGCGGUGCGGAUUGGCGGGCUCUGGCGUUACCGGCAGGGAUGUGAACACCACCAUCGUGGAGCUCCUGAUUAUGGUGUACACAUGGAAGACCUCUCAUGCCAAGAGCAUCAUCAGCGUGAUCUCCUGAUUUCCUUACAGCAAACAGUGCAAGAUAAGGAAAAGAGGCUCCAUCAUCUAAAUUCUUGGCCUCCAUGAUGUGCAAAGCUGAUCCCAGAUCAUAGGAAUGCAGUCAUUGUGGUCAAGUCUCCAUCCUCAGCUAAGAGAGAAGCCAGUCCAUUGGAGAGAGAAGGAACAAAAGCACAGAAAAAUGAGCAUGCUUGGUUGAUUCUCUCCUUUUCCUGAGGUGUAUCAAAAUCCUGAUCUUCUUGAAGGUGAGAAAUAAGGU